CACGUAGGCGGAUAUUUAAGUCAGGGGUGAAAUCCCGGGGCUCAACCUCGGAAUUGCCUUUGAUACUGGGUGUCUUGAGUAUGAGAGAGGUGUGUGGAACUCCGAGUGUAGAGGUGAAAUUCGUAGAUAUUCGGAAGAACACCAGUGGCGAAGGCGACUCGCUGGACAAGUAUUGACGCUGAGGUGCGAAAGCGUGGGGAGCAAACA
rnacentral:rRNA from 1 species